rnacentral:rRNA from 1 species
GACAGAGGGUGCAAACGUUGUUCGGAAUCACUGGGCGUAAAGCGCACGUAGGCGGAUCUUUAAGUCAGGGGUGAAAUCCUGGAGCUCAACUCCAGAACUGCCUUUGAUACUGGGGAUCUCGAGUCCGGAAGAGGUGAGUGGAACUCCGAGUGUAGAGGUGAAAUUCGUAGAUAUUCGGAAGAACACCAGUGGCGAAGGCGGCUCACUGGUCCGGUACUGACGCUGAGACGCGAAAGCGUGGGGAGCAAACAGG